AUUGAACGCUGGCGGCAGGCCUAACACAUGCAAGUCGAGCGGUUGAAGGGAGCUUGCUCCUGGAUUCAGCGGCGGACGGGUGAGUAAUGCCUAGGAAACUGCCUGGUAUUGGGGGAUAACGUCCGGAAACGGGCGCCAAUUCCGCAUACGUCCUGAGGGCUAAAGUGGGGGAUCUUGGGACCUCACGCUAUCAUAUGAGCUUAGGUCGGAUUCGCUCGUUGGUGGGGUAAGGGCCUACCAGGGCGACGAUCCGUAACUGGUCUGAGGGGAUGAUCUGUCACACUGGAACUGAGAGACGGGCCAAACUCCUACGGGAGGCAGCGGUGGGGAAUAUUGGACUAUGGGAGAAAGCCUGAUCCAGCCAUGCCGCGUGUGUGAAGGAGGUCUUCGGAUUGUAAAGCACUUUACGUUGGGAGGAAGUGCAGUAAGUUAAUACCUUGGUGUUUGGAAGUUACCAGGAGAAUGAGGACCGGCUAACUUCGUG
rnacentral:rRNA from 1 species